rnacentral:rRNA from 1 species
UGCCGCGUGAGUGAAGAAGGCCUUCGGGUUGUAAAGCUCUUUCGGACGGAAAGAAAUCGCCACUUCUAAUAAAGGUGGUGGAUGACGGUACCGUCAUAAGAAGCACCGGCUAACUACGUGCCAGCAGCCGCGGUAAUACGUAGGGUGCGAGCGUUAAUCGGAAUUACUGGGCGUAAAGCGUGCGCAGGCGGUUUUGUAAGACAGACGUGAAAUCCCCGGGCUUAACCUGGGAACUGCGUUUGUGACUGCAAGGCUAGAGUGCGGCAGAGGGGGGUAGAAUUCCACGUGUAGCAGUGAAAUGCGUAGAGAUGUGGAGGAAUACCGAUGGCGAAGGCAGCCCCCUGGGUCGACACUGACGCUCAUGCACGAAAGCGUGGGGAGCAAACAGGAUUAGAUACCCUGGUAGUCCACGCCCUAAACGAUGUCAACUAGGUGUUGGGGGAGGAGACUUCCUUAGUACCGCAGCUAACGCGUGAAGUUGACCGCCUGGGGAGACGGGCCGCAAGGUUGAAACU